UCCAAUCUCAGCAUCAACAACAACAAGCGCGCCAAAUACAAAAAUUUCCCUCUUCUUCUUCCUCUUCCUCUUCCUCUUCCUCCUCCUUCUUCUUCGCUACUUUCUCUUCCAUAAUCACUUUCAAUUCCCCUUCUUAGGGUUUCCAUCCCAUUCUUUUCCUCUUCCUUCCCUUCACGUUGUUUUUCUUCUCUCCUCUCCUAUGGCCGACCCUCCCACCAGUCCUCCCGGCUGCAGCCAUGAAAGCGGCGGUGAACAAAGCCCUAACACUGCUGCUGCCGUUCGUGAACAAGAUCGUUUCCUUCCCAUCGCUAAUAUUAGUCGGAUCAUGAAGAAAGCUUUACCUGCUAAUGGCAAGAUCGCUAAAGACGCUAAAGAUACCGUCCAGGAAUGUGUUUCUGAAUUCAUUAGCUUCGUUACCAGCGAGGCGAGUGAUAAGUGUCAGAAAGAGAAGAGGAAGACUAUUAAUGGUGAUGAUUUGCUUUGGGCUAUGGCCACGUUGGGAUUUGAGGAAUAUAUUGAUCCCCUUAAAUCCUACCUUAAUAGAUACAGAGAGUUGGAGUGUGAUGCUAAAGGAUCUUCUAGGGGUGGUGAUGAGUCUGCUAAAAGAGAUGCAGUUGGAGUCUUGCCUGGUCAAAAUUCCCAGCAAUACAUGCAGCCGGGAUCAUUGACCUACAUUAACACUCAAUGACUAUUAAUUUAUGAUGAUCCGCCUUUGCUAACUUUGAGCUUGAUGGUUUAAAGAACCAGGGUAUCCUAAAAAGGUUAUGAGUACAAAUCCUCAUGGCGGCGUGCGUGAAUAAAUGUCUUAUGAGCUCCCUUUUUUGGGUAUUAAAAAUUGUGGGGUUUGCACGGUAGCCUUCUGUUAAAAAAAAUAGGUGGAAGUCUGUAGAUCGUCAGUGUUGAAAUGGGUUAGAAUGAAAAGCAGUGUUGAAAUAUGAAAAUUUAGCGGGCUUUUGAUUUUUAGCAUUUUUAUGCUUAUUUAAACUUCGACGAGAUCUUCGAAUUGAGGACCAUAUAGUAGAUUGUAAUUUUAUCUUUUAUUUGAUUGAUAUCUAAACCCUUUCCAACUUCUUGCUUUGGAUCAAAAGGUUCUUUACACUAAUAAAGUUUAAGAUUAUGAGGUCUGGUGGCUAGUUUGGUGAAUUUUUCAUGCAGCUGAGGUGUCUGCGUGAGGGUGACUCAAGCAUUUAUUUUAAUUUGGCUGUUCGAGUCUUUAUGCUUAUUGGGACAGCACAUGAUCAUUCCUUCAAUGCAGAAUAAUGAUUAGGAAUCUCCUGCAUUUCCACUCGGAUUGCUUGAAAUCUGAGGCUGGUAGAAGCGUUCAACACCUAAAUAGCUUCUUUACAAUCGAUUUGGCUAAUUUAUUAUGAAAACAAUGAUAUUAUAAUACAUAUUUUCUGGGGUUCCUGUUUUGGUUCUGGAUUUGAUUUUGAUUUAGGCUUCGAUUUUAUUGAUGCUCUCGUCAGCUAAAAUUCUUGUAAAUUUGGGAGCUUCAAUUUAGUAUAGUUGCUUUGGUAAUUUGGAAACUGGAAAAAUAUUAUCCUCUUUCCCCCACUUAUGUUUCUUUUGUUUCGAAUUAUUAAGAAAGUGAUACAUAAUAUCCUUCUCCCCUUCCCUUUUACCAUGAA